rnacentral:rRNA from 1 species
GACGAACGCUGGCGGCGUGCUUAACACAUGCAAGUCGAACGGAAAGGCCCUGCUUUUGUGGGGUGCUCGAGUGGCGAACGGGUGAGUAACACGUGAGUAACCUGCCCUUGACUUUGGGAUAACUUCAGGAAACUGGGGCUAAUACCGGAUAGGAGCUCCUGCUGCAUGGUGGGGGUUGGAAAGUUUCGGCGGUUGGGGAUGGACUCGCGGCUUAUCAGCUUGUUGGGGGGGUAGGGGCUUACCAAGGCUUUGACGGGUAGCCGGCCUGAGAGGGUGACCGGCCACAUUGGGACUGAGAUACGGCCCAGACUCCUACGGGAGGCAGCAGUGGGGAAUAUUGCACAAUGGGCGGAAGCCUGAUGCAGCAACGCCGCGUGCGGGAUGACGGCCUUCGGGUUGUAAACCGCUUUCGCCUGUGACGAAGCGUGAGUGACGGUAAUGGGUAAAGAAGCACCGGCUAACUACGUG